UCGCCCAGUCACGCCCCCAGCGCGACUCGCCGGCUGACGGGGCCACGCCCACCGCUGGAACUGCCGCAGCCACUUUCCCAGAGGAGCACAGGCUCCUCCUAUGGACGUAGCCACGCCUCUUCGGCCAUUUAGGCGGUGUGCCACGCUCCAUGACUAGUCCUUUCCACGCCCUGAGGUCUUUUUCCGUGAUGGGGGCAAUCACGGUUUCUGCAGUCCACUAUCCAACCUCUCCUUUCCUCUAUACUACUACAGAAGAGGGGCUUCCGCAUACUUCCCUAAAAAAGGGGAACCUCUACUCUCCAAUCCUCCACUUCAGAUCCCUUCAAAAUCACCUCCCACCCGAUGCUUCAGAUGCUAAGGAUGAGGUGGCCAUUCUAGUAAACGCUAACCGCUCUGCUUGAGAGCUCGACCCGAUGUCUCUGGCAGAUUGGUCCUUGGAUCAUCUCGUUUCUCUUCCUGAUUUUCAGUCUCUCUCCUUAUCCCCUGGCUCCUUUCAGCUUAUAAACCUGCCCGCCUGGGGACCCUCCAUCAGUCAGCUAGCAUUUAAAUGCCAUUCCUUGCUCUCAUCCUACUUCCUUUCCUCUCUCCCUCUCACAGCAAAGCCCCAGAAAGCUUAACCACACUUUUCCCCCAAGGCUUUAUCACCUUCCACUCACUUCUCUAAUGGCUGCCUAACACAGUCCUCAAAAGAAACCUACCCACCGUUACCCAUGAUAUUUUAGUUGCUACACAGGAUGGUCUUUUCUCGUCUUUCCUCAACCUUCUUGACCUCUAAAAGUCUAACAUAUGGACCCCUCCAUCUUUUAGAUCAGGAGUUCUUAAUCUUUUUUUUUUUUUGUCAUGGACUCUUUUGUCCAGGUAUGCAUAAAAUGCAUAAUAUAAACUUUAUAGGAAAAUCAAGGAAAUCAGUUAAAUUGAAAUAGUUACCAAAAAAAUUUAAUGAGUUCACAGAUGCCUGGUUAAGAAUACUCUCUCAGUCUUUGCUGCAUCACCCUCAACCAUGUCCCACCCUUAAAUGCAAGACCUACCCCCAUCACCCAGGAGCAGCGCCAGCACAAUACUACAGCAUCAGUGAAAAAGAUUUUCACACAAUAGGACAUGUAAUUAGAAAAAUGCAAGACCUACCCCCAUCACCCAGGAGCAGCUAGGUGACACAGAAGAUAUAACCCUGGGCCUGGAAUCAGGAUGGCAAGUCUAAAAUAAGCUUUGGAUAUUUGCUAGGUGAUCCUGGACAAGUCAUUUAACUUCUGUUUGUCUUGGUUUCCUCAAUUAUAAAUUGGAAAUAAUACCAGUACCUAUCUCCAAGGGUCAAAUGAGAUAGUUUAUAAAGCAUUUAAUUAUCUCAGUGCCAGGCACAUAGUAGGAACUGAAUAAAUGCUUAUUUCUUUCUCUUCCAUAAUCUGAUUCCAACCUUCCUUCUCCUGGCUUAUUUCACAUCAUUUCUUUACAUAGGAUUGUCAACCUGGAAAAAUACAGAACCAUUUGGUCAGCAAGACCAAAUCUUUAAUCAGGAAAGAGACAGGUCCUGAAAUACCAGCUGCCACCCAGAGCCAAGUGCUAAAUACUACACAGAGUAGAAGCCUGGGGACCCUGGGGACAGUGUCUCUGAGAGGAUCGCCACACUGGAUGAUUCUCCAAAGAACAAUAGAACAGAGGGAUCUUAUAUGCCUUUUGGGAAAUUAGGCACAGCAAACAUACACUGACAGUUUAGAAACAAGCUUGGGAAAGAGAGUGUAGCCAGAGGCUGGGGUACUGGGGAAUGGCCUAACUUAUAAUGGAUACUAAAAGGAUGGUUCCUGCCAGGUGUUGGUCUUCAUGGGAAAAGAUCUCUACUACAAUGGGGGAAACUUCUAAGAGAAAAGGGCCGAUUCUAUUACUCCUAUUUAGGACACUUAAUAGAUGCUUGGGGACGGAGUCAGUUUGGGACUUCCCUUAAAGGCAAGUUCUCAAGGGAAAUGGGCAAACUUGGGGCUUUCUAGAAUUCACUUGACAGGAUCAUAGAAUUGGAGCCAGAAGGGACAUAGAAGUCAAUGGAGCCCAAUCCCUCCUUUUUCAGAGCCCCCUCAGAUAGGACUACUAGCUCAAUCACUUCCCAGUCCAUUUCCCACCACUGCAUUUACAAAGGUGGCCCCCCACACUUUGAAUUCACUACCUCCUCAAAAGUACAUUUCUGAAUCUUUUUCUUCCUUCAGGGCUCAGCUCAGAUGCCUCCUUCAUAAAAUCUCUGAUUUCUCCAGUUAUUAAUGGGGAAGUUAUUAAUCUUCCUCACAUUACCUCGUGUUGACUUAUUUGUGUACAUGUUGUACACAGACCUCCAAACAGAAUAUAAACUCCUUCAAGGCAGGAACGAUUUUAUUGUGGGUUGUGGAGGAUGAGCGUCUGUUUCAUGAGCAUCAUUCCUUACACGUCAUAGGCACUUAAUUACUAUUGAAUUAAAAUUAUAAUGGAGGGUCCAAUUGUUUUCUUGUAGACUUGACCAGUGAUUAUCUGGGGUAGCAUAUCAAAUUAAGGUCAUCCUAGAAAGCAGAGAGAACCUUGACCUGAGAGGUCAAGGUAAGCAGAUUGGAGAGGUCCAAAAGCAGAAACUGAAGGACUCAGAUUAUCUACCUUCCCCAGUGUCUGCUGGUUAAUCCUUACAGUCAGCCAGAGAUUUAUUGCUAUUAAAUUGUAAAUCCUUAUGGUUCCCCUGCUUGUCCUUUUAUAGCAGUGACUCUGGUGCUCAACUUAUUUUUCCAACUGCUUUGUAAAUGAUAAGAUCAUUUUGGCAUUAGUCAUUCUUUUUAGUUGUUUACUAGAUCUACCUGUUGUAGUAGUAGCUAUGCCUUGAGUACCUUAUUUUAUGCUUUGGUGGGCUUGUAAUUUUUACUUCAGGAAGUGGGUACUUUGGAUAUCUUUAAUAUCAUUGAAAAAGCAUGUAUAUUAUAUCUCUACUAUGUAUCAGACACAUGCUUGGGAUACAGAGACCAAACUGAAUUAGUCUCUGUUCUCAGGGAGUUUAUUGCAUACUAAAAAAUUGCAGAGUUUCUGCUGAAGUAAAGUUUUAAAGAAAAAGUGAUAAUGUUGAAGUCAGAAGAAUUGGGUUCAAAUUCUGGCUCUAAAAAUUAAUGGCUGUAUAAUCAAGGGCAAAUCACUUAACUCAUUUGUAAAAUGGGGACAAUAAUUCUUCAUGCUGUGUAACUCUCCUUUAGUACUGCACACUGAAGACAUUUUAAAAAUAAAAAAAUUAGGAGUAAAGCUAAAAUGGUCAAGUAAAGGUCUGGAUUCACCUGAGUUCUCUCAAAUUUGCCUUCAAACAAUGCUAAAAUAACAUCUCAUGAUGAAUUCUGGAGUGGCAGAACCAACAAAAGGAUGAGGUGAAACAACUUUCCUGCCCAAGACAACUUAGAAGGUCACCAGGAAUGAUCUGUCUCACUGGUAUGAGAGUGGAGUACAGUCUAGGUCAGGCCACACCUGGCAAGCCAGCACCAGACCCUGUCAGGGUAUGCAUCAUAGCUCUCAGCCCACAGAUAGCAAAUGUGUCAAACAAUUGGUCAGAAGGAGAUUACAGGGACCCUUUGCUGGCAAUGGGAGUAGGAUUUUGCUGCAUUACCCAUGUGAAGUAAAGUCUUGGGAGAGGCAUAAAAAAUUAAACAGAGAAGAGAAGAGAAAUCAGAAGGGAUUCAAAAAAGUUAAAUGGUUUACAUUC